rnacentral:rRNA from 2 species
AGCAGCCGCGGUAAUUCCAGCUCCAAUAGCGUAUAUUAAAGUUGUUGCAGUUAAAAAGCUCGUAGUUGAAUUUCGGGAUCAGUACGCUGGUCAUGCCUUUGGUAUGCACUGGUGUCACUGGUUUCUCCCUUCUGAAGAUCCGUGAUGUCAUUAAUUUGGUGUCGCGGGGAAUCAGGACUGUUACUUUGAAAAAAUUAGAGUGUUUAAAGCAGGCUCACGCUUGAAUACAUUAGCAUGGAAUAAUGAAAUAGGACGUUUGACCCUAUUUUGUUGGUUUCUAGGAUCGACGUAAUGAUUAAUAGGGAUAGUUGGGGGCAUUAGUAUUCAAUUGUCAGAGGUGAAAUUCUUGGAUUUAUUGAAGACUAACUACUGCGAAAGCAUUUGCCAAGGAUGUUUUCAUUAAUCAAGAACGAAAGUUAGGGGAUCGAAGACGAUCAGAUACCGUCGUAGUCUUAACCAUAAACUAUGCCGACUAGGGAUCGGAUGAUGUUAAUUUUAUAAUGACUCAUUCGGCGCCUUACG